UGGUACUCAUCUUGACAGGGGUAGGGGCUAGAGACGUAAUGCUUAGGACAUUGACUGCCUAUGUGUCUUGACCGGGUUACGUGCCUAAGUCAAGGUCAUACGUAAAAGACUACUGUUAUUCAUGUUUAAUCGGUUUAUAGGGUACCUAGACUGUGAAUCAAGCUUUUAAAUAAAUAAGAAAAGGGACUAAUUCGCUAGAGUUACUUACGAGGGGGUUUUAAAGUACUGCUGGUGUAAAGAUGAAAUUCUGUCAUACCUCUUUUCGAAAGAAGAAUAACGGCACAGGUAUAGGCGAAGGCAUCCCCUUAUGUGAUAACUGACGUUGAGGGACGAAGGCUUCGUGGAACAAACAGGAUUAGGUACCCUAGUAGUUGAAGCAGAAAAUGAUGAAUGUCAUAGAUUAGACGUUUAAGUUUAUUCUAUAAAUGAAAGUGUAAGCAUUCCACCUCCGGAGUAAUUUGGCAACAUUGGAAUUGAAAUCAUUAGACCGUUUCUGAAACCAGUAGUGAAGUAUGUUGUUUAAUUUGAUAAUCCGCAAAAAACCUUACCCCAAUUUGAAUAUUUAUACCGAACAAAUAUCUACAAGCGUUGCACGGCUGUCUUCAGUUAAUUUCUCGAGACUCCGUAGCUUUCUGGAAUCUUGGU
rnacentral:rRNA from 1 species